UUCUAUUAAAAGAAAAAGGGGUGAAAAGAACAAAGUUUUGUCCAUCUUUGUUCAUCAUAGCUGAAAGUUAGAGAAGAGAAAGGAGAGGAGAAAGCUCUUGAGUAUUCGGUCAUUAGGAGGAGGAAAAUUGAAGGAAAUCCCCAACCAUAGUGGGCUUGGAGUUGUGAGGGAAUUCGGAGUGGCCACCCGUUCUGAAAGUUUGGUUUUCUUCUGGUGAACUGGACAUCCUAUUAUUUACGUUGAGGUUUGGGUUUUUAAAUGUAAUAAGGCUGCUUAAUUA